rnacentral:lncRNA from 1 species
UCUUUGACUCUCUGUCACGUCAUGUCCAACCCACAAUGGCAGGUACCAUGACAAAGACAACUCUUAAAAGGACGACGUUUAAUUGGGGCUCGAUUACAAUUCAGAAGUUCAAGGUGCAUGGCAGAGCCUAGGCUGGCAUGGGGCCAGAGGAGCUGGGAGUUCUACAUCUUGUUACAAAGACUGCCAGGAGAAGACUGGCGUCUAGGCAGCUAGGACAAGGAUCUUAAAGCACUGUCAUUCAUGGAACAGAAAAGCUUCAUGUCAUCCUCAUAUAAUACAGAGCUUCACCAUGGGAAGGCAGCAAGAAAUUAACAGCGGCCGUGAAAUAUAUUUAUUGUCAACUGAGACUCAAAAAGAAUAGAUUUGAGGUUGUAAACAGGCUUUAAAAUUUACUCUUCACGAAGCUAAA